CUACGGGCGGCUGCAGUGAGGAAUAUUGCACAAUGGAGGAAACUCUGAUGCAGCCAUGCCGCGUGAGUGAAGAAGGCCCUAGGGUUGUAAAGCUCUUUCGCAAAGGAAGAUAAUGACGGUACUUUGACAAGAAGCCCCGGCUAACUUCGUGCCAGCAGCCGCGGUAAUACGAAGGGGGCUAGCGUUGUUCGGAAUCACUGGGCGUAAAGCGCGCGUAGGCGGUUUGAAAAGUCAGAUGUGAAAGCCCAGGGCUCAACUCUGGAACUGCAUUUGAAACUAUCAGACUAGAAUCCGGUAGGGGACAGUGGAAUUCUUAGUGUAGCAGUGAAAUGCGUAGAUAUUAAGAGGAACACCAGUGGCGAAGGCGACUGUCUGGGCCGGUAUUGACGCUGAGGUGCGAAAGCGUGGGGAGCAAACGGGAUUAGAUACCCCCGUAGUC
rnacentral:rRNA from 1 species